AGAGUUUGAUCCUGGCUCAGGAUGAACGCUAGCGGCAGGCUUAACACAUGCAAGUCGAGGGGCAGCGGGGAGUAGCAAUACUCCGCCGGCGACCGGCGCACGGGUGCGUAACGCGUAUGCAACCUACCUUUAACAGGGGCAUAACACUGAGAAAUUGGUACUAAUUCCCCAUAACAUUCGAGAAGGCAUCUUCUUGGGUUAAAAACUCCGGUGGUUAAAGAUGGGCAUGCGUUGUAUUAGCUAGUUGGUGAGGUAACGGCUCACCAAGGCGACGAUACAUAGGGGGACUGAGAGGUUAACCCCCCACAUUGGUACUGAGACACGGACCAAACUCCUACGGGAGGCAGCAGUGAGGAAUAUUGGUCAAUGGACGCAAGUCUGAACCAGCCAUGCCGCGUGCAGGAAGACGGCUCUAUGAGUUGUAAACUGCUUUUGUACUAGGGUAAACGCUUCUACGUGUAGGAGCCUGAAAGUAUAGUACGAAUAAGGAUCGGCUAACUCCGUGCCAGCAGCCGCGGUAAUACGGAGGAUCCAAGCGUUAUCCGGAUUUAUUGGGUUUAAAGGGUGCGUAGGCGGUUUGAUAAGUUAGAGGUGAAAUACCGGGGCUCAACUCCGGAACUGCCUCUAAUACUGUUGAACUAGAGAGUAGUUGCGGUAGGCGGAAUGUAUGGUGUAGCGGUGAAAUGCUUAGAGAUCAUACAGAACACCGAUUGCGAAGGCAGCUUACCAAACUAUAUCUGACGUUGAGGCACGAAAGCGUGGGGAGCAAACAGGAUUAGAUACCCUGGUAGUCCACGCAGUAAACGAUGAUAACUCGUUGUCGGCGAUACACAGUCGGUGACUAAGCGAAAGCGAUAAGUUAUCCACCUGGGGAGUACGUUCGCAAGAAUGAAACUCAAAGGAAUUGACGGGGGCCCGCACAAGCGGAGGAACAUGUGGUUUAAUUCGAUGAUACGCGAGGA
rnacentral:rRNA from 1 species